rnacentral:rRNA from 1 species
GUAGGUGGCAAGCGUUGUCCGGAAUUAUUGGGCGUAAAGCGCGCGCAGGUGGUUCUUUAAGUCUGAUGUGAAAGCCCCCGGCUCAACCGGGGAGGGUCAUUGGAAGCUGGGGAACUUGAGUGCAGGAGAGGAAAGUGGAAUUCCACGUGUAGCGGUGAAAUGCGUAGAUAUGUGGAGGAACACCAGUGGCGAAGGCGACUUUCUGGCCUGUAACUGACACUGAGGCGCGAAAGCGUGGGGAGCAAACAGGGAUUAGAUACCCUGGUAGUCCACGCCGUAAACGAUGAGUGCUAAGUGUUGGGGGGGGUUUCCGCCCCCUCAGUGCUGCAGCUAACGCAUUAAGCACUCCGCCCUGGGAGUACGGUCGCAAGACUG